ACAUAUUUGUGCACGGAAUGACAAAAAAAAAAAAAAAAAAAAAAAAAAAA
rnacentral:ribozyme from 1 species